rnacentral:piRNA from 1 species
UCCAGGUGAAUCUGAGAGGGAAGACCC